AGAGUUUGAUCCUGGCUCAGAUUGAACGCUGGCGGCAGGCCUAACACAUGCAAGUCGAGCGGCAGCGGGAAAGUAGCUUGCUACUUUUGCCGGCGAGCGGCGGACGGGUGAGUAAUGCCUGGGGAUCUGCCCAGUCGAGGGGGAUAACUACUGGAAACGGUAGCUAAUACCGCAUACGCCCUACGGGGGAAAGCAGGGGACCUUCGGGCCUUGCGCGAUUGGAUGAACCCAGGUGGGAUUAGCUAGUUGGUGAGGUAAUGGCUCACCAAGGCGACGAUCCCUAGCUGGUCUGAGAGGAUGAUCAGCCACACUGGGAACUGAGACACGG
rnacentral:rRNA from 1 species